rnacentral:tRNA from 1 species
UUAUAGAUCAGCUAAGUAAGCUUUUAGAUUCAUACUCUAACCAUAUAUUAAUUUAUUCUAUAAU